AACGAACGCUGGCGGCAGGCUUAACACAUGCAAGUCGAGCGCCCCGCAAGGGGAGCGGCAGACGGGUGAGUAACGCGUGGGAAUCUACCCAUCUCUACGGAAUAACGCAUGGAAACGUGUGCUAAUACCGUAUACGUCCUUCGGGAGAAAGAUUUAUCGGAGAUGGAUGGGCCCGCGUUGGAUUAGCUAGUUGGUGGGGUAAAGGCCUACCAAGGCGACGAUCCAUAGCUGGUCUGAGAGGAUGAUCAGCCACACUGGGACUGAGACACGGCCCAGACUCCUACGGGAGGCAGCAGUGGGGAAUAUUGGACAAUGGGCGCAAGCCUGAUCCAGCCAUGCCGCGUGAGUGAUGAAGGCCCUAGGGUUGUAAAGCUCUUUCACCGGUGAAGAUAAUGGCGGUAACCGGAGAAGAAGCCCCGGCUAACUUCGUGCCAGCCGCCGCCGUAAAAC
rnacentral:rRNA from 1 species